rnacentral:rRNA from 1 species
UCAUUUGUCUAUCGUUGAUGGGGUGGUCGGCUUGGCUGCCUAUGCAGAAAUCGAUUCCGAAUUGUGCCCAAGGAUGUCCUUUCGUGUAUUGAUGGACAAUAUCCCGAUAAGAUUUCGUUUCGCCAUUUUCGGUGUGUGCAUUGCUGAAGAGCAAUUGGCUACCGCUUUUUUGCAGGCUCUCUUCCACCUUGUCCCGUAUUCUUCGUGCCGAGGCGUCCCAUAUCGGCUUUACGUCGCAGUUCACCAUCUACGAUUCGGCGGACAGCAAGAGCCUGAUUCGUUCCAUCAUCAAAGAGAUGGGGCUUGACGAGAAGACCUAUAAGCCCGGCAGUGUGCAGGCACGCAUCUCCAAUGCGAAGAACCACCUGGUGUCUCCUUCGGGAUACGCAGCCAACAAGGAGGCGUACGAGGGCGAUCUUGCCGCAAAGAUGCCUGAAGCAUUAAGUAUUCCACCUGGGGAGUACGCCGGCAACGGUGAAACUCAAAGGAAUUGACGGGGGCCCGCACAAGCGGAGGAACAUGUGGUUUAAUUCGAUGAUACGCGAGGAACCUUACCCGGGCUUAAAUUGCAGUGGAAUGAUGUGGAAACAUGUCAGUGAGCAAUCACCGCUGUGAAGGUGCUGCAUGGUUGUCGUCAGCUCGUGCCGUGAGGUGUCGGCUUAAGUGCCAUAACGAGCGCAACCCUUAUCUUCAGUUACUAACAGGUCAUGCUGAGGACUCUGGAGAGACUGCCGUCGUAAGAUGUGAGGAAGGUGGGGAUGACGUCAAAUCAGCACGGCCCUUACGUCCGGGGCUACACACGUGUUACAAUGGGGGUACAGAAGGCAGCUAGCGGGUGACCGUAUGCUAAUCCCAAAAUCCUCUCUCAGUUCGGAUCGAAGUCUGCAACCCGACUUCGUGAAGCUGGAUUCGCUAGUAAUCGCGCAUCAGCCACGGCGCGGUGAAUACGUUCCCGGGCCUUGUACACACCGCCCGUCAAGCCAUGGGAGCCGGGGGUACCUGAAGUACGUAACCGCAAGGAUCGUCCUAGGGUAAAACUGGUGACUGGGGCUAAGUCGUAACAAGGUAGCCGUACCGGAAGGUGCGGCUG